UACUUCUGAGGGUUAGUGAACUCUUCGUAGACACGUAUAAAUUUGAAUUAUAAAAGGGAAAUAAUUACUUCCACCCCCAA
rnacentral:tRNA from 1 species